UGCGGUCUUUGUUAAGUAAAUAAGACAGAAUUUGUUUUAAUUUAGAAAGAUGUCCUAAUUAACUAAAUUAUUCAACACCUUUUUGUCGCGAUUUAAAAAUUCUAGCGUUCAAAAAAUAUAUCAUACGUUAAUGAUACACGGAGAGUAGCGUAGGUUUUCUGCAGAACUGCAACAAUUACUUUUGAUAGGUAGAAAGUGACGUAUAAAUAUGACGGUGAUACUUUUCCUUAUGGUAGCGAUCCUUCCAUUUGCUCUAGUGGACGGUUUGCCAGGUUGCUGGGCUGGUCCAACUCCACCGGGGAGGGUGUGCAUAGAUAAGAAGAUAUUAAAUGGACAACAAUCGCUCGAUGUAAGGUAUAAAAUCCUCUCUAAUUAUACAGAUGUUUGCUGUGAUGCGCUGGCAUGUACAGACUUUCGUGGCUGCCAUUUGAAGGAUAUUGGAUGUGGUCACGGCACAAUGACGUCUCAACGUCUACCCUGGGAAUUAAAAGAAAUAAACCCUCUUGUAAGAUGUUAUUCCACCGACGCAACAAAUCCUGAUUUUUACGACUUUUCAGUAAUAAUCGCCUAGACCAACACAACUAUCAAAUAUAGGAAUAAAAUGCAUUAUGCAAUAUUUUUGAUAUGAUUAAAAUAAGUUGCCUUUUAGCUUGACCGUUUAUGUGACAAAAUAAAAAUUAAAUUUG